UACAGAGGGUGCAAGCGUUGCUCGGAUUUACUGGGCGUAAAGCGUACGCAGACGGUGAGAAAGGUCGAAUGUGAAAGCCCCGGGCUCAACCCGGGAACUGCAUCCGAAACCAUCUCGCUAGAGUAUGGGAGGGGGAAGCGGAAUUCCUGGUGUAGAGGUGAAAUUCGUAGAUAUCAGGAGGAACACCUGCGGCGAAGGCGGCUUCCUGGCCCAUUACUGACGUUCAGGUGCGAAAGCGUGGGUAGCAAACGGG
rnacentral:rRNA from 1 species